CGCCCAGUGGUGAAGCGGUCUAACACAUCUGACUUUCUAUCAGACAUUCCAGGGUUCAAAUCCCUGCUGGGUGA
rnacentral:tRNA from 1 species